UGCAUACUUUUUCUCCAAAACAUUGCUGAAGAAAUUAUCUGGUUGUGUUCGUUAUUUGUUAACUGAUGUCCUGCUCUUGUUUUGUUAAAGACCUGAAGGGUCAGAUGCUGCCGAAAGGGUUUUCUGUUCUUUGCUCCUCAAAAAUGGUAAAACAUCCAUUCUAAACUGUACUUCAUGAAGAGAUCAUUUUUAUUGGUAAAUUGUAUUUUGUUUGCCAUCUGUUCAGCUAUUUAUUGUGCACUGUUACUAUUGAUGUUAAGGUAACCAAAAGGAAGAGGAAAUGUCAGAGUGUAGUGUGAGGCUUUUAGUUGUGCAGACAAGAGAUGAGCUGAACUGCAGAGAAUGUCGUGGACAACAGCAUUACUUUUGACCGCAUAUCUGACUGGUGUCUCCUUGAGUUUAGCUGACGAUCUCUUCAUCACCCCCCAGUUGGCCACUCGACUGAUCGGACAGAGACUUGAAUUAAACUGUAGCGUAAAUAAAGAGAAAGACUGUAAAGAUGCCCUGUUCUUCUGGCGGCACAGACACAUUCAUCAAAAAAGCAGUGAAGACGCGGAAACGGAUAUUCGGGGUAAAGGACGGUUUUCAAUCAGCACUGAGUCUCAAUGGAGCUCUCUGGUCAUCACGGACUUGAACGUUACAGAUUCUGGUUACUUCAACUGUUCUGUGAUGUGUGGGACGAUUAAAAUAGAGUUUAUAUGGAAGAGCUCACAAGUGGAGGUGAGAGCUGUCCCCAAGCUGGACCUUCAUUACCAGACAUCAAGUGAAAACCCCAACAUCUUCCUCCUGAUCUGCAGUGCUGUGGGCUUCUACCCUCCAAAUAUAACCCUGUCUUGGGACCAUUCUCUUCAUGAAGUGACCCACUCUAUUCUGCCAGAUGUUCCCACACUCUUUCAUGAUGGAACCUACAACAUCAGCUCCAUUCUGCAUGUCAAGACUUACCUAUGGGGCCCAGGGGAAGAAAUUGGGUGUGUGGUGAACCACAGCUCUCUGACAUGGCCACUGAGGAAGAACAUCAUGCGAGAAGCUGUCCCCAGGCUGAACCUCCAUUACCAGACAUCAAGUGAAAACCCCAACAUCCUCCUCCUGACCUGCAGUGCUGUGGGCUUCUAUCCUCCAAGUAUAACCCUGUCUUGGGACCACUCUCUGCAUGAAGUGACCCAUUCUAUUCUGCCAGACAACCCCACACUCCUUCAGAAUGGCACCUAUAACAUCAGCUCCAUUUUGCAUGUCAAGACCUUUCUGUGGAUCCCAGGGGAAGGAAUUGGGUGUGUGGUGAACCACAGCUCUCUGACACGGCCAUUGAGGAAGAACAUCAUGCGAGAAGCUGCCCCCAAGCUGAAUCUCCAUUACCAGACAUCAAGUGAAAACCCCAACAUCCUCUACCUCAUUUGCAAUGCUGUGGGCUUCUACCCUCCAAAUAUAACCCUGUCUUGGGACCACUCUCUGCAUGAAGUGACGCACUCUAUUCUGCCAGACGUUCCCACGCUCCUUCAGGAUGGCACUUACAACAUCAGCUCCAUUCUGCAUGUCAAGACUUCCCUAUGGAGCCCAGGGGAAGAAAUUGGGUGUGUGGUGAACCACAGAUCUCUGACACGGCCACUGAGGAAGAUCAUCACGCGAGAAGUUGGAGUCAACACGCAUGUCACAGAAGUUUCAGAGACAAGAAACUGGCACUGGUACCUGCUAUUUCCUAUCACAGUUCCUUUCCUUAUUUGCACUUGUUUGUUGGUCAAAAUUUGGAGGGCUCUUCAUGAAAGAGGCCCUUGAAAUCAUUACUGCUUCAUGUGAGGAACAUA